CCAAAAUAAUGCUGAACAAAGAGAUCAGAAAGCACAUAGAAAUUUCAUGUGAGAGAAAAAAAAGGAGAUAUUGAAAUAUCAAAGUGACACUUACAGAGAAAAUACCAAUUCAAUUAACAGCAACUCAAUGCUUAUUCAUUUCACGUGAAAAUACCCCAAAUCAUUUCAUGGCUCAUGCUGCUGUCGUCUCUCUUUUGCACACUGUUGAGCAGAUCCGCCAUGGAGAUGGAGUUUCGGAUCCUUAUCAAAAUCAACUGCUUGUACCUCUCUUCGAAAAGCUCAGUUCACUACUGAAUUUUCUUGAAGAAUCUUUCCAAAGUAGCAGGGAAGAAGUGAAAUCACUGGAAAGAAAAAUCAGAGACGCGGCUUAUCGUGCAGAAGAUGUCCUUGAGUUCCGUAUAUCGGAUCAUCUUCUUCCAAAACCUCAAAAACUAUUUUAUUUUUCUUCAAAUAAGCUAUCUGCUAAAAAGUAUCGUCUAGACUUGCAGAAAAUAAUUGCAGAAAUCGAUACGAUUGUAGAAGAGGUGAAGGAGAUCGAGGAUGUGAGGGGCGAACAAAUACUUCAGCCAAGGAAUUUUUUUCCAUCAAGACCUGCUCCUAGUGGCCAGACUAAUAUGGUGGGAUUUGCUCAAGACUUGAUGCAGAUAAAGGAGAGGCUCUGUGAUGAACGACGUAAACUCCAAAUCAUUCCCAUUGUUGGAAUGGGGGGCAUGGGUAAGACUACCCUCACUAUGAAUGUUUUUAAUGAUUCAUUAAUCAGGUAUCGCUUUGAUAUUCGUGCUUGGGUAACAUUAUCUCGACAAUAUCGCAUGCGAGACAUUCUUCUAACCCUUCUAGAUGAAUUUGCUCUUACCGAUCUCAUACGGAAAGAAGAUAAUGAUCUAUUAAAAGAACAAGUAUUCAAAAAUCUGAAGGGUAAGAGGUACCUAAUUGUCUUGGAUGAUGUACAGAGUAUCGAGGUUUGGAAUGACAUAAAAAUGAUAUUUCCAGAUGAUAAAACUGGAAGUCGAAUCAUAUUGACAAGCAGGCUAAAAGAUGUGGCUGAUUACAUCAACUCAUCUAAUGAUCAUCACCAGAUGCGAUUUCUUAAUGAGGAAGAAAGUUGGAAUUUAUUUGUUGAAAAGGUGUUCGGCAAAGAAGAAUGCCCUCUUGAUUUGGUGGAUGUUGGAAAAAAGAUAGCGAAAAAUUGUCAAGGACUUCCAUUAUUAAUUGUGGUGACUGGUGGACUCCUCUCAAAGGUCAAUAAGGAAAAUGGUUUCUGGGAGUACGUUGCUGAAAAUUUAAGCUCAUUUGUAGCAGAGGAAGAUGCCCAGUGCUUGGAAAUAUUCUCUCUUAGUUACAAACACUUGCCUGCCCAUUUAAAAGCAUGUUUUCUCUAUAUGGGAGUUUUCCCGGAAAACUAUGAAAUUCCAGUCUCUAGACUCAUUAAGUUAUGGGUCGCUGAGGAAUUUCUAAAGCCACGUGAAUCUAAACACUUGGAAGAGGUUGCGCAGGAAUAUCUUGGGGAUCUUAUUGAUAGAAAUCUUAUUUUGGUUCGUCAAAAAGGGUCUAUUAAUGGAAAAGUUAAAACCUGUAUCAUGCAUGGUCUUUUGAGAGAGCUCUGCGUGAGGAUGGCUUAUGAGGAGGAAUUUUUUUGUGUGAGGAGCAGGAAUUUCGUUCCAGAGAAGGAAAUUUUGCUGCGACGUCAAUGCAUUCAUGAUGCUGCUUCAUAUAGUCCCAAUGAGGAAGACAUGACAAUCCAAUCAAUGUCCGUUGUCCGUUCCUUUAUAUAUAGUGGCUGGGACGAUACUCAUUUGCAUUCUUAUUAUUAUUUUGGUUGUCGACUGCUGAGGGUAUUGGAUAUGAUUGGAGUAGAGCUUACAAAGUUCCCCGAUGAAAUACUUCGACUAGUUAAUUUGAGGUACAUUGCAAUCACCUGUCGCGACCUUGUAAUUCCUCCUUCUAUUGCCUUCCUUAAGAAUCUACAGACUUUAGUUGUUGAAGAUCCUUGGAAAAUUACAAUUUACAUGCCAAAGGAAAUAUUUAAUAUGCCACAAUUGAGGCAUCUCAAACUCUCUCGAGUUUCCCUGUUUCGUUGUUUAUCUCUCCCAUUAACGGAUAGUGAUAAAACUUUCGUUCUAGAAAACCUGGAGACACUAUCAAAUGUAGAAGAUUUAGGAAUGUCAAAAGACUCCCUUGAAAAAAUUCCUAACGUAAAAAAAUUGGGAAUUAUUUACGGUCAUGGUAGGUGGAGUGUCUUUGAUGUGCAUCUCCAAAAACUCGAAACAUUAAAAAUUUUCUUUGAAACGCAGUCAAAUUCAAUUUUCCUGCGAAGCAUCACUUCUUCUCCAGGGCUCAAAAAGAUAACUCUAGAAAACGGUAGAAUUGAUUGGGAAAACAUGACGAUUUUUGGCAAGUUGCCCAAUCUUGAAGUGCUGAAAUUGCGGGAGUUUGCCUUCUCUGGCCCAGAGUGGGUACCAACUGAAGGAGAAUUUCUCAAACUAAAAUUCUUGCUAAUUUGGGAGACAGAUUUGGAGCAGUGGGGAGCGGACAGCACUCAUUUUCCAAGGCUUGAGCACCUAAUCCUCCAAAAGUGCUCAGAAUUGGUAGAGAUCCCAUCCGAUAUUGGAGAAAUACAGACCCUUAAAAUCAUUGAGAUAGAUAAUUCCAGUCCCUCCGUCGUAAAAUCAGCAAAGGAUAUGCUUGAGGAACAGCGGGACCAAGGAAAUGAAGUCCUUGAAGUUCUUUUCCAUCAAACAAAAGAAAGACUGCAUCCGUAAAAACACCGGGUAAAUCAAUCCCUCGUCCUAUUUAUUUUAUGUUAUUUUUUAGAUACAUCAUAUUGAUCACAAUGCCUACAGAUCCAGCAAGAUGAGUCAGGUCAAUUCUAUAGAAGGGAAACCAAACUUGAUCGGUUAAAGAAAGAAUCAAAUAAUCCUAGUGGAAGCAAUACAAUAUCAAAGGUAAAUAAAUUCCUCGUCCUAUAAUUGUAUGCCACUUUUUUAUUGAGAUAUACAUCCACACAAAUCCCGAGAUCUCUAGCUACCAUAGUGCAUUUGUAUGUUACAACAUUCUUCAAUGACUUUUCUUUGCAUUCUAGGUUCAG